CACGUAGUUAGCCGUGACUUUCUAAGUAAUUACCGUCAAAUAAAGGCCAGUUACUACCUCUAUCUUUCUUCACUACCAACAGAGCCUUACGAGCCGAAACCCUUCUUCACUCACGCGGCGUUGCUCCAUCAGACUUUCGUCCAUUGUGGAAGAUUCCCUACUGCUGCCUCCCGUAGGAGUUUGGGCCGUGUCUCAGUCCCAAUGUGGCCGAUCAGUCUCUCAACUCGGCUAUGCAUCAUUGCCUUGGUAAGCCGUUACCUUACCAACUAGCUAAUGCACCGCAGGUCCAUCCAAGAGUGAUAGCAGAACCAUCUUUCAAACUCUAGACAUGCGUCUAGUGUUGUUAUCCGGUAUUAGCAUCUGUUUCCAGGUGUUAUCCCAGUCUCUUGGGCAGGUUACCCACGUGUUACUCACCCGUCCGCCGCUCGCUUGUAUCUAGUUUCAUUUAGUGCAAGCACUAAAAUCAUCUAGGCAAGCUCGCUCGACUUGC
rnacentral:rRNA from 1 species